AUUGAACGCUGGCGGCAGGCCUAACACAUGCAAGUCGAACGAGUGGCGGACGGGUGAGUACUGUCUGGGAAACUGCCCGAUGGAGGGGGAUAACUACUGGAAACGGUAGCUAAUACCGCAUACCAUCGGAUGUGCCCCGAUGGGAUUAGCUAGUAGGUGGGGAAACGGCUCACCUAGGCGGCGAUCCCUAGCUGGUCUGAGAGGAUGCACAGACACACUGGAACGGGAAAAGGGUCCAGCCUCCUACGGGGGGCAGCAGUGGGGAAUAUUGCACAAUGGGCGCAAGCCGGAUGCGGCAAGGCCGCGUGUAUGAAGAAGGCCUUCGGGUUGUAAAGUACUUUCAGCGAGGAGGCGUUACUCGCAGAGGAAGCACCGGCUAACUCCGUGCCAGCAGCCGCGGUAAUAC
rnacentral:rRNA from 1 species